rnacentral:rRNA from 1 species
GACGGACGCUGGCGGCGUGCCUAACACAUGCAAGUGGAGCGACGAACCAGGCUUCGGCCUGGGGCAAAGCCGCGAACGGGUGAGUAACACGUGGGUAACCUGCCCUGAUGAUUGGGACAACCCGAGGAAACUCGGGCUAAUACCGAAUGUGCCCUCCGGCCUCAAGGCCGCUGGGGAAAGGAAGCUUCGGCCUCCGCAUCGGGAUGGGCCCGCGGCCCAUUAGCUUGUUGGUGAGGUAACGGCNCACCAAGGCGACGAUGGGUAGCUGGUCUGAGAGGACGAUCAGCCACACUGGGACUGAGACACGGCCCAGACUCCUACGGGAGGCAGCAGUGGGGAAUCUUGCGCAAUGCGCGAAAGCGUGACGCAGCAACGCCGCGUGGGGGAAGAAGGCCUCGGU